GUUUCCAUAGUGUAGUGGUUAUCACGUUCGCUUUACACGCGAAAGGUCUUGGGUUCGAUCCCCAAUGGAAACA
rfam:Oikopleura dioica, whole genome shotgun assembly, reference scaffold set, scaffold scaffold_10